rnacentral:rRNA from 1 species
UACGUAGGGUGCGAGCGUUGUCCGGAAUCACUGGGCGUAAAGCGCACGUCGGCGGAUUGUUAAGUCAGGGGUGAAAUCCUGGAGCUCAACUCCAGAACUGCCUUUGAUACUGAAGAUCUUGAGUCCGGGAGAGGUGAGUGGAACUGCGAGUGUAGAGGUGAAAUUCGUAGAUAUUCGCAAGAACACCAGUGGCGAAGGCGGCUCACUGGCCCGGUACUGACGCUGAGGCACGAAAGCGUGGGGAGCAAACAGG